GUAACGGCGAGUGAAGCGGCAACAGCUCAAAUUUGAAAUCUGGCUCUCGGGCCCGAGUUGUAAUUUGUAGAGGAUGCUUUUGGUGAGGUGCCUUCCGAGUUCCCUGGAACGGGACGCCAUAGAGGGUGAGAGCCCCGUCUGGUUGGACGCCGAUCCUCUGUAAAGCUCCUUCGACGAGUCGAGUAGUUUGGGAAUGCUGCUCUAAAUGGGAGGUAUAUGUCUUCUAAAGCUAAAUACCGGCCAGAGACCGAUAGCGCACAAGUAGAGUGAUCGAAAGAUGAAAAGAACUUUGAAAAGAGAGUUAAAAAGUACGUGAAAUUGUUGAAAGGGAAGCGCUUGUGACCAGACUUGGGCUUGGUUGAUCAUCCGGGGUUCUCCCCGGUGCACUCUUCCGGCUCAGGCCAGCAUCAGUUCGCCUCGGGGGAUAAAGGCUUCGGGAAUGUGGCUCUCUCCGGGGAGUGUUAUAGCCCGCUGCGUAAUACCCUGUGGCGGACUGAGGUUCGCGCAUUCGCAAGGAUGCUGGCGUAAUGGUCAUCAGUGACCCGUCUUGAAACACGGACCAAGGAGUCGUCUUCGUAUGCGAGUGUUCGGGUGUCAAACCCCUACGCGAAAUGAAAGUGAACGCAGGUGAGAGCUUCGGCGCAUCAUCGACCGAUCCUGAUGUUAUCGGAUGGAUUUGAGUAAGAGCAUACGGGGCCGGACCCGAAAGAAGGUGAACUAUGCCUGUGUAGGGUGAAGCCAGAGGAAACUCUGGUGGAGGCUCGCAGCGGUUCUGACGUGCAAAUCGAUCGUCAAACAUGGGCAUGGGGGCGAAAGACUAAUCGAACCUUCUAGUAGCUGGUUUCCGCCGAAGUUUCCCUCAGGAUAGCAGUGUUGAACUCAGUUUUAUGAGGUAAAGCGAAUGAUUAGGGACUCGGGGGCGCUAUUUAGCCUUCAUCCAUUCUCAAACUUUAAAUAUGUAAGAAGCCCUUGUUGCUUAAU
rnacentral:rRNA from 1 species